GUAGUUACCCAGCAGGAGCAAUACCAUGAUCGAGAGGGUGGUUUUCCCAGGGUGAGGCUCACACGUUGUACUCAGAGUGUGCUGACGCCUUCGAUUUCCCCAAAUGCAGGUAAGUUGCACUGCAUCAUUUGUGGUAGUGGAGAACUGUGUGUACACACACACACA